GCUUACGGCCACAACCUGAACACCGCCCGAUCUCGUCCGAUCUCGGAAGCUAAGCAGGUCGGGCCUGGUUAGUACUUGGAUGGGAGACCGCCUGGGAAUACCAGGUGCUGUAAGCU
rnacentral:rRNA from 1 species